rnacentral:piRNA from 1 species
UUUUUAGUUUUCGUUGUGGAC